AUUGAACGCUGGCGGCAGGCCUAACACAUGCAAGUCGAGCGAGCGGUGGACGGGUGAGUAAUGUAUGGGGACUGCCCGAUAGAGGGGGAUAACGCCUGUAAACGGUGGCUAAUACAGCAUACGGUCGGAUAACCCAUAUGGGAUUAGCUAGUGGGUGAGGUAAUGGCUUACCUAGGCGACGAGCCCUAGCUGGUCUGAGAGGAUGAUCAGCCACACUGGGACUGAGACACGGCCCAGACUCCUACGGAGGCAGCAGUGGGGAAUAUUGCACAAUGGGCGCAAGCCUGAUACAGCCAUGCCGCGUGUAUGAAGAAGGCCCUAGGGUUGUAAAGUACUUUCAGUCGGGAGGCGUUACCGGCAGAAGAAGCACCGGCUAACUCCGUGCCAGCAGCCGCGGUAAUUC
rnacentral:rRNA from 1 species